rnacentral:rRNA from 1 species
AUUGAACGCUGGCGGCAGGCCUAACACAUGCAAGUCGAGCGGAGCGGCGGACGGGUGAGUAAUGCCUAGGAAUCUGCCUGGUAGUGGGGGGUAACGUCCGGAAACGGGCGCUAAUACCGCAUACUAUCAGAUGAGCCUAGGUCGGGGUAGCUAGUUGGUGGGGUAAAGGCCUACCAAGGGGACGAUCCGUAACUGGUCUGAGAGGAUGAUCAGUCACACUGGAAGGUAGACACGGUCCAAACUCUCACGGGAGGCAGCAGGGGGGAAUAUUGGACAAGGGGCGAAAGCCUGCGGCAGCCAGGCCGCGUGUGUGAUGAGGGUCGUCGGAUUGUAAAGCACUUGAAGUUGGGAGGCGUUACCAACAGAAUAAGCACCGGCUAACUUCGUGCCAGCAGCCGCGGUAAUUC